rnacentral:lncRNA from 1 species
CUGAAAGGUUGUUGAAUUAAGAGAAAGAGUGCUCAGUUAGUACUCCUUAAUCCACCUAGCACACGUCCUUAUCGUCAUUCAAUUAUUUUAAUAAUCUAAUCUAGCAGCAAGGCUGAAGAAAAUCACUUACGAAAUGAAUUCUUAACCCCAAAUAAAUUCAAAUUCAAAUAGAGAACAUUCAUACUUGAAUACCUACCUUUAAUUUUUAAUUAAAAGUGCACUAAGUAUUUUAGAGAUUUCACCUUGAGUUAAUUAAAGAAAAUCCUCCAGCGGCUUCCAAAAUUAAAUCUGAGUUGCUUCAAUUAGCGGCAUGCUAAUUUAUUAUUACUGACUCUAAGUUUAAUUAAGAAAUUCGAUUACUCAAUUACUCUUAGAUAAUUAUAAGAAAUGUCCUAAAUUAGAUAGGCGAUCAAUCUAAUUAAUUUAGAGACAAAACUCUUUGAACAAGAAAAUUUAAUAACUCAAGAAUGCUAAAUCCGAAUUUAAACAAAUAAACCUUCAAAUUUCUUGUGCUAAGUUUCAUAAGUAUCUAACUGAGCUUAAUUAAUUUAGCCACUCAUAGCAAUCGAAACGAAACAAAAAUCAAUUGUAAACAGCAUAAAUUACAGACUGAAUCCUGGAAAAGAAAAAUCUUCAAAUCGUCGAGUUUCCCUUCUUUCGAUUAGCUGAAAUUCUGGGCUGUUACGUCAAUUUUUAUUCGGCUUUGCUGAUUCAAUUUCAGAUUUCCCUUUGCUCGAGUGCCACGCUUCUCUGCUGCUGUGUGUUCCUCUGUUUUUUCGACUCUUCCCUUUUUUUAGCUGCUGGUCACUUCUAUUUAAGGAGUAAUGAUAUUAACCUUCCAUAAUUCAAAUAAAAUUUGAUCUUAUCCCCCUUUAUCCUAGCUGAAACCGUCGCACAAGAAUAGCUCCAGCUCAUGUAGAGUUCCAUUUCAAUUUUACUUCUUAAAGCUGCACAUAAUCACUUGACUUUAAUUAAAGUCGGUCACCACUCCAAGAGGGAAGUUAAAUAAUUCCCUUGCUGAUUUUGCUGCAUAUUCGGUCUGCUGUUAUUUAAUUGGACCGAAUUUUGUUUUUUUGUUUGUCCAAUGCCAAUUUAAUUUCUUCAAAACCAGCAAAUGAUCAUUCCCAUCUAGCAGCUUUAAUCAUGCAAAUUAAUUUCCAAAUCAAGCCCAUACGGACAUCCAAGUGUUCCUUACAUUCGGCCUGUUGCUUUUUAUUGGACCGAAUGUUGUCCUCAAUGUUAAUUUAGCCUGCAUAUGAUCAUCAUUCAGCAGUUUAUUCAUGCAGAUUGACUUCCAAAAUUGAGCUUAUACGGGCACCAAAAUGU